GAUGAACGCUAGCUACAGGCUUAACACAUGCAAGUCGAGGGACCGGCGUACGGGUGAGUAACGCAUAUCCAACCUUCCCAUUACUGUGGGAUAACCUGCCGAAAGGCAGACUAAUACCGCCUAGUAAUGGAUGGGGAUGCGUCUGAUUAGCUUGUUGGCGGGGUAACGGCCCACCAAGGCGACGAGCAGUAGGGGUUCUGAGAGGAAGGUCACCCAGAUUGGAACGUGGACCCGGUCCAAACUCGUACGCGAGGCAGGAGUGAGGAAUAUUAGGCAAGGAACUGAAGUCUGAACCGGCCAAGUAGCGUGCAGGGUGACGGCCUAUGGGGUGUAAACUGCUUGUGUGUGGGGAUAGGUACCAUAUGAAUAAGGACCGGCUAAUUCCGUGCCAGCAGCCGCGGUAAUUC
rnacentral:rRNA from 1 species